rnacentral:misc_RNA from 1 species
GAUGAAGAACGCAGCGAAAUGCGAUACUUGGUGUGAAUUGCAGAAUUCCGUGAACCAUCGAGUCUUUGAACGCAAGUUGCGCCUCAAGCCAUUAGGUUGAGGGCACGUCUGCCUGGGCGUCACAUAUCGUUGCCUGAUGCCAGUUUCCUCGUGAUGGGUGACUGUGCAGGGCGAAUGAUGGCUUCCCGUGAGCAUUGUUGCCUCAUGGUUGGUUGAAAAUUGAGUCCUUGGUAGGGAGCGCCGUGAUAGAUGGUGGUUGAGUGACGAACGAGACCCAAUCAUGUGAGACCCCUACCGAAUUUGGCCUUCAUGACCCACAUGCGUCUUUGGAACGCUCAUGACGAGACCUCAGGUCAGGCGGGGCUACCCGCUGAGUUUAAGCAUAUCAAUAAGCGGAGGA